GGAGAGCGAAAUAUAUAUUGAAGGGUAAUCCUACCCCAGGAAAUAACAAGGACAAGGACAAGGAGCAGGAAUAAAGGGAUUCGUGUGUCAAGGGCGUUUUGGAUUUCGAGAUUAGCACUUUCGAUUUACGGCUGCUCAAGUCGGGUCACUAGCCAACCUUUUUGUGUUCAGAAAACUCUUUCGGAUAUGUUAGAUGUGGCAUGUAUAGCAAGUGUAAUAUAGUUAAGACGUUUCAUUUACUUCGUUUUCCAGGUUGUAUAAAUAUAUAUAUAGGCUUUUAGAAACAGGUUUAUGGUCUAAUUUCAGAUGUCAUAUAGCAGUUUUUCCGUUUACCAAGGAAAGGAAAAUGAUAUAUCUUUGUAUAAAAAAAAGAAUCAAGGAUUUUCUGUUAAGUCCGGAUUUGUACCAAAAGGUGACAUCACUUAUUCGAUUAUUAAAUUAAUCGGGUAAGGGGUGUUUCAUGUUUUGGUAUCAGAGCCUAGGUUUAGGCGGUCCUAGGCUUGAGACGUGUUUAGAUGUGUCAAGAAACAUGCCACAUAGGAUUUUGAUUUGAGUCAUUGCUAGUGACCUGAUGUGUAUAUGUUUUCCUGAUGUGUCCAUGUUUGCCUGGCUUCAAGACUUGACAACUUUUAGUUUCUGAGUGAUGCAGAAAACCCUUCUGUAUAAGGUUCGAAAUAGUGAACCGAGGUUGAAUAGACCGAUGAUCCUGUAGUCAUCUGGCCGGCUAUUGAAAGAAAAAGCUUGCAAAUGCUGUCCUUUAAAUUGGCUAUUCAUCUUAUAUUAUAUACGAUGCCAAUCGUCGUCUUGUUCUUGCUUUCUGUCUUCUUCAAGUUUGGCUUGCCCUCGCUUUUUGAGUAGAACUUUCUCAACACCACGAAAAAGUCCACUUUGGUUUCCCACUGAUCUGAUCAUCCAUCAAAACUGGGCUUUAAAGCUCCUUUAGCUGAUACGGUGUAGUGAUAUGAAUAUGCCAAAUGAGAGUUAUCGUUCGUGAUUUCUUCCUCUGAGAAUUGUUUUUGGUCCUCUUGUUGACAUUGUGUUGGCUAAAUAACCUUUCACCCUCAUCUGAAAAUUUUUUGACAGUCUGUAUAUUCUCUGGGUUAAUUUUCCGCUUGUCAUCUUAUUAUAUUGUCAGAUUUUGACCAUUCCACAAUUCAUAAAAACUCUUUGAUCCAAAAUUUUUCUAUGACGAACAUUUGUUCCAUAUGGUUUGACUUGCAGGAUUCAUGGACUACCAUAUUGUUAACCAGAUCGAUGAGAUGUCCAUGAUUCUAAAUUUCCUUUCUCACUUCGUUAACUCAUUGAGAGUGUGGUGAUAACACCUUUUUUGUUUUGAAUAUGCGAUCAUUGAGUUAAUACAUUCUUGAAUUAUUACUAUUAUUUCACAUUUGUUGUUUCGGACCCUCCAACGUGCUUGCCUAUUGCUGAGCCUAUAAGAUAAUUGGAGAAAGAGAUUUUUCCCUGUUAGUACUGUUACCUUGGAGAAAUUAUCUUCUUUGAUUAAUUCCUCAUAAUCGUAUCAUUUUGGGUCACCUAAACAUUGAUUGUUUACUUAUCUACCACCACUGUGUCAUUAUUUUCUAUACCGAGUUUGGAGCUACUUGUAGUUUAUGUGAAACCUGAUUCUGACCCUUGAAACUUGGAAUACUUUUGGUUGAACCUUCUGUCCUUCGUGAUUUAUUGUCUUUAAUGACAAUAAUCCUUUACUUGUGUGCUUUUGCCACUAAAUUUUGUUGUUGAAGUUGUUCGAGCUUAUGUCUGUUAUAUUGACAAAGCCUCUUUGAUAGUUGUUUUUAAGAGAUGACACAGUAACCAUAAUAUCUUUGGUGACCCCUUCGAUAUAAAUUAUUGGCGUUCUUUCCUGCCGAAAUUACACUGAUUCCUUUGCCUAACCCUAUUGUUUAAAUUGUCUUCUAUCUCGAGACCUUUCUGCAACUUGAGAUUUGAGUUGAUGUUUUACCUUUGUCUCCAAUAACUCUGCUUCAAUCAUCAUCUUUAUGAGUUGUUUUUCUUCAAACUAUCUUCGAAACAUAUGGACCCAGCCAAUGAUAUGAUUUGUAUGUUCCUAUUGUUUCUUAACCAUGAUAUUUGUUAACUUAAGACCAGAUGUGACUAAGAGAAUAUGCUAACCAGUCAUUGUUCUAUUAAAAUUUUACCACCUCAAUCGUGAUUUUCUGACCUUUAGAUUAUUGACAAUUCGCUUAUGUCCUACUGAUGCUUAAAUUGUUCUGAAAGGUAAUAAAUAUCUAAUUAUGGAGCAAAGUUUCCAUGUGACUGAGAAAGUAGUUAAGUGGAACAGGCCACUCCAUGUAACUCGAAUCUCAGUAGCGUCCUUCUUUGAUAAACCGAUGGGUUUUAACUUUGAAGUCAUUUCAUUGGACUUAUUGUCAUUUCAUUCUUACCAUCGGUUACCUUUUCCAAGCUUGUUCGUUAAUUAUUUGAUGAAAUCUUUUGAUCAGUCACUCUACUACAAUGUAUUAAAGGGAUCAUCUAUUUUCUCAUCAUUGUUGUUUCCUGUUGAUUUUCCAUUCCAUGGAAUUUGUGAAUCAACUCUUCCAAUUGGUAUCUUCAUGUCUUUAUCCGAAAUAUCUUUUUGUGAUAUCAUAUUCGUUGAACAUCUGAGAUGAUCAAUCUCUGAAUUUUCUUUUGAAGAUUAAGUUUAACCACUUAUUAUUCACUUGAGGCAUCCAAUGAGUUAAUGAUCCAUUUUUUUUUACUCAAUAAUUUCCUCAAUCAUGUGAACCGGAUUAACCAGAGUCUCUGUGUCUUGUCAUCUAAUAUUUCUCGUACAUCUGCACUAGAAAGUCAUGCCUUGAUGGAUUUCUUUGUAUCUGCGUUUGGAUCACCCUAUCCAGGAUCUUCUGUUUUGGAUUACUAGGAGGCAAUAUGUGUCUUCAUACCUAUUUCUUCUGUAAUGUGUAACCUUCUAUUAUUUUAUAUUGUUCUGUACCCUUGCCUAUUGGAGUUAGUGAUAUUUUUGACCAUCUGAUGUUAGUUUCUGCUACCAGAACUUCUAUCAAAGAUAAAUUGCUUGUCUUGUCGGUAAGUUUCUUAUGAUCAUUUCUGAAUAAUCCACUCGAGAUAUCGAGGUAUUUUCUAAACUCUCUCUCUGGUGAAUAGUGUCUCUAUGUUUGCAUUUGAACUAGAUGUCUUGUGGCUCUUAUAUUACAAACAUCGCUUUUGGUGAAGUACGGUUUGCAUUUCUCUGUCCUUGAACAAUCCAAUCUCUUUGACAAUCUUUGCGAUUCCUCUCCCCAAAUGUAUAUCACGUGCUAUCUUUGAAUCAAUCAUUUACUUUAUAUAAAGUUCUCAUUUCUUUUUUGAGAGCGAGUUGUUCGAUCGGAAAUGGAACAGACUUAAAAAAAAGAAAAAAAAAAAGAAAAAAAAAUUCUACAUUUGUUAUGUUAUGAAAGUUCUUGAGGUUCAUUCGAAUCUGAAUUGUGAUAAACCUAUAAUUUGUGCUUACUGAGGCCAAUCCUUAAGCCUACGAUGAUCAGAUCUGAAAUUAUCUUGCAAAACUAAUUGUUGAUGAGAGAUUGUGACUUGUGACAAACUGGAGAUUUAAAACUCUUGAGUUCAUGUUGGUUUGGUUACUAUGAUUUAAUAUCUUUGAACUACUAUGAUAGUGAUUGGCUUACAGAAACAUCACUACAUGCUUAUGUGAUCAUUUGUGAUUCUGCUAUCUGAAGUUAAUAGGAUUUGAGGGAAAAUAUAUAUAUAUAUAUAUAUAUAUAAAUAAAUUCUCAUAUCAAUGCCAAUUGUUCUGUUGUCUUUAAUGUGGUGGGCUUGACUAAGACUAACUUUUGCAUGAAUUGGAUAUAUAAUUACCUUGAGAGAAUAUGAUAUGAAAGCAAUAUUCUGUCUCUUCGAUUCGGGUAUCAAUUUCGAGGACGAAAUUUCCUAAGGGGGGAGAGUUGUAACGCCCCGAAUUUUAAAAAAAAAAUAAAUAAAUUUUAAUUAGUUCAAAUGCGUCGGAAGUCGUAGAUAAAUUAAAUUCUAGAGGUGUGUAGAUAGUUUCUUAUUAUGUGAAUUAUUUGUUUGUGUGGUGUUUUUUGUUAGAAAGAGAGAAAGAAUAAAAGAAAAGAAAGAAAGGAAAUAAAGAAAUAAGAAAAGAAAAAGAAAUUGGAAAAGGGAAUGAGAUUUUUUUUAUCUCAAUUCCCCACUUACGGGAACCUUCUACACACACCUCUCUCUCUCUCUCUCUUUUCUCUUCACCAAUUCCUCAAAUUGAGAGAUACCCAAAAAUCGACCAAAAGGGGAAAUCCCCAAAUUGAGGAAAACCCUCAAUUCCCGUCGCCAUCCUCAACUCGCCGGAGUUGGCGACUGCCACUGCCACUGUUGGGUCCCCUGCACCUCGAUUUCCAUCUCCAGAAUCAGCCACCGCCGUCGUCUCCUUUGCGGAAAAACGCCGACGCAGCGAGGGGGGGACGGGCAGACGUUGCUCAGCCGCUGUCGCUGAAAUUCCGCCGUCGCCGCCGUGGUUAAUCAGCCGCUGCUGUUACAGCAGCCCCGAAACACUCCCAUUCAACCCGAAUCAACUCCGAACAGCCCCGAAAUCAACCCGAACAUCCACGCACAACCCCGAAAGAUAAGUUUCAUUACUAUUAUGUUCCUUUCGCAACUUCAGAUUAAUCACAACGGGUGUUCAAUUGUAAUGUUCGGUUUGUCAUUGAUUGUGUUGUUUGAUCGGUGAUACUUGUUGAUUGAAUUAUGUGGGAAAUCUAACGAAAUUAUUGGGAUGAUUAGAGUAUAUAGUUGGAUUAUCUUAGAUAGUAUGUAUGUAUUUGAAGUAUACAAGUAGAAAUCUUGUUGCAGUGAAGGAAAUUAAGGAAACAGCUACUGUGCCCUGUUCUGGCAGCAUGUUACAAGUCCCGUUUAACCAAGUAAACGACCUCAUUUUCUUACCAAAUUUUAACUGAACAUACUUUUAUGUGUCUUCUGCCAUGUGACCAAAAUUCAGCUUCAUCCGAGUUCAAAUGAAUUUAUAGUGAUUUUUGUAAUGAGACUGCCCCUGUUCUGCCAGGUUUGAAUAAAACAGACAUAAACCCUAAACAAAUUAGAAUUUGAAGUCCAAAGUUAAUCCCCAUAAAAUAGACAGUCAUGGCUUUUAUUUUCAUCGGGUUACGUUGAAUUUCGACUUCGUUGUUGACCAGAAUGAUUUUUCAAAGUCGGUGCAAAUUCUGUAAAAUCUUGGGACAUGAUAAAAGUUGAAAUGCUUAUGCUUUAACCUUAUUUUUGGACUAGUAUAUGAAGAUAUAUUUCCUAAUGUGAAAUCUUGAAGGAGAAAUAGUUGUUUUUGACUAAUCUAAUAUUUUGUAGUAUACAUGCAUAAAUAAUAGACCAGAAUUAUGAAAUUAAGUUAGAAAAUAAUGGUUAACUGUAUGAAUUUGAUACUUUAGAUGCGAGAGCGAAAUAUAUAUUGAAGGGUAAUCCUACCCCAGGAAAUAACAAGGACAAGGACAAGGAGCAGGAAUAAAGGGAUUCGUGUGUCAAGGGCGUUUUGGAUUUCGAGAUUAGCACUUUCGAUUUACGGCUGCUCAAGUCGGGUCACUAGCCAACCUUUUUGUGUUCAGAAAACUCUUUCGGAUAUGUUAGAUGUGGCAUGUAUAGCAAGUGUAAUAUAGUUAAGACGUUUCAUUUACUUCGUUUUCCAGGUUGUAUAAAUAUAUAUAUAGGCUUUUAGAAACAGGUUUAUGGUCUAAUUUCAGAUGUCAUAUAGCAGUUUUUCCGUUUACCAAGGAAAGGAAAAUGAUAUAUCUUUGUAUAAAAAAAAGAAUCAAGGAUUUUCUGUUAA